rnacentral:rRNA from 1 species
GACGAACGCUGGCGGCGUGCUUAACACAUGCAAGUCGAGCGAUGAAGUUCCUUCGGGAAUGGAUUAGCGGCGGACGGGUGAGUAACACGUGGGUAACCUGCCUCAUAGAGGGGAAUAGCCUUCCGAAAGGAAGAUUAAUACCGCAUAAGAUUGUAGUAUCGCAUGAUACAGCAAUUAAAGGAGUAAUUCGCUAUGAGAUGGACCCGCGUCGCAUUAGCUAGUUGGUGAGGUAACGGCUCACCAAGGCGACGAUGCGUAGCCGACCUGAGAGGGGGAUCGGGCACAAUGGGACUGAGACACGGCCCAGACUCCUACGGGAGGCAGCAGUGGGGAAUAUUGCACAAUGGGGGAAACCCUGAUGCAGCAACGCCGCGUGAGUGAUGACGGUCUUCGGAUUGUAAAACUCUGUCUUCAGGGACGAUAAUGACGGUACCUGAGGAGGAAGCCACGGCUAACUACGUGCCAGCAGCCGCGGUAA